rnacentral:rRNA from 3 species
UCAGGUAGGGAUACCCGCUGAACUUAA